ACCUAAUUACAAAAUUAAAAACAGUAUAGAGAUCCAAUUAAAAAAAGUAUAAAAACCUAAUUGCAAAUUUAAUAAAACUACAAAGACCAACAGCAUAAUUAAACCGGAUAUAUAUACUUUUCCUUAGUAUUUAUUUAAUUUAUUUUGUGGGGAACAAAUAAAAUUAUUUUGGGAUCAUAACAGUCAGUUAAACACAAUAAUAUAACAUUUAACGAUAUAAAUAUUUAACUGUUAGAGGAAUUAUAAUGUGUUGCAGCUCAGUUUUCUUAAUCUCGCUACAGCACGAAAUACUUGAAUAUCAACUGAGUACAGAAACGGAGAUAUAUCCAGUGGCUGAUUCUUUUUGUGUAUAUAAUAACAUUUUUCAAAUAGAACUCUGGCAGAACUCAUUAAUAUAGUAGUUUGGUUUCUUUCUACAGCUUCCUCAGUUGAGAUUUUAUAACAACCAACAAUAAUCCAUCCUCCGAAUAUCCCAAUGCAUUUAAUUAUACGGUUAUACCACUGAUAAUCUGAUAUACUGUGUACUCUUUUAAAUUUGAAUCACGUGUUAGUUUCUCAAGUUCACAAACUUUUAACUGUUUCCUGAAAACAGAACAGGGUGGAGUGACGAAACUCACCAUUUUAAACUCGAUUACUCUGCAUGUAUCCCGAUGUCACCUCAUCUUUACAAUCUGCCCUGAUAAUUUAGAUGAGUUUCUCAUAAGCG